rnacentral:misc_RNA from 1 species
GUUCCGUAGGUGAACCUGCGGAAGGAUCAUUAUUGUAUAACCGAGGUGCGAGGGCUGUCGCUGACCCGAAAGGUCGUGCACGCCCGAGUGCCCUCACACAUCCAUCUCACCCCUAUGUGCACCACCGCGUGGGUCCCCCUUUGGCUUGUUCGGAGGGGGGCUUACGUUUUCACACAAACUUUGUAUGCAGUGUAGAAUGUAUUUUUUGUUUUUGCGAUCACGCAAUCAAUACAACUUUCAGCAACGGAUCUCUUGGCUCUC